ensembl:misc_RNA Metazoa_SRP Metazoan signal recognition particle RNA
GCUGGGCGUGGUGGCUCAUGCCUGUAAUCCCAGCACUUUGGGAGGCUGAGGCAGGUGGAUCACCUGAGGUCAGGAGACCAACCUGGCCAACAUGGUGAAAUCCUGUCUCUA